rnacentral:rRNA from 1 species
AUUGAACGCUGGCGGCAGGCCUAACACAUGCAAGUCGAGCGGAUGAAGGGAGCUUGCUCCUGGUUUCAGCGGCGGACGGGCGAGUAAUGCCUAGGAAUCUGCCUGGUAGUGGGGGAUAACGUCCGGAAACGGGCGCUAAUACCGCAUACGUCCUGAGGGAGAAAGUGGGGGAUCUUCGGACCUCACGCUCUCAGAUGAGCCUAGGUCGGAUUAGCUAGUUGGUGGGGUAAAGGCCUACCAAGGCGACGAUCCGUAACUGGUCUGAGAGGAUGAUCAGUCACACUGGAACUGAGACACGGUCCAGACUCCUACGGGAGGCAGCAGUGGGGAAUAUUGGACAAUGGGCGAAAGCCUGAUCCAGCCAUGCCGCGUGGGUGAAGAAGGUCUUCGGAUUGUAAAGCCCUUUAAGUGGGGAGGAAGAGCAGUAAGUUAAUACCUUGCUGUUUUGACGGUACCAACAGAAUAAGCACCGGCUAACUUCGUG